rnacentral:rRNA from 1 species
GGGCCCGCACAAGCGGAGGAGCAUGUGGUUUAAUUCGAUGAUACGCGAGGAACCUUACCUGGACUUGAACGCAGAAGGAAUACUGGUAAAAGCUAGUAGUCGCAAGACCUUCUGCGAGGUGCUGCAUGGUUGUCGUCAGCUCGUGCCGUGAGGUGUUAGGUUAAGUCCUGCAACGAGCGCAACCCUUACUGUCAGUUACCAGCAUGUAAUGAUGGGGACUCUGGCGGAACUGCCCGCGCAAGCGUGGAGGAAGGUGGGGAUGACGUCAAAUCAGCACGGCCCUUACGUCCAGGGCGACACACGUGCUACAAUGGGGGGUACAGAGGGCAGCUACACUGUGAAGUGAUGCGAAUCUCAAAAGCCUUUUCUCAGUUCGGAUCGGAGUCUGCAACUCGACUCCGUGAAGUUGGAUUCGCUAGUAAUCGCGCAUCAGCCAUGGCG